rnacentral:rRNA from 1 species
UUGGAGGGCAAGUCUGGUGCCAGCAGCCGCGGUAAUUCCAGCUCCAAUAGCGUAUAUUAAAGUUGUUGCAGUUAAAAAGCUCGUAGUUGAAUUUCGGGAUUCAUCCGUUGGUCGGGCUUCACGGUCCGCACUGGUGUGAUGGGUUCCUACCUUCUGAAUAACCGGCAUGCCAUUAAUUUGGUGCGCCGGGGAAGCAGAACUAUUACCUUGAAAAAAUUAGAGUGCUUAAAGCAGGCAAGUGCCUGAAUAGGUUAGCAUGGAAUAAUAAAAUAGGACGGCAUGGUUCUAUUUUGUUGGUCUCUAGGAUCACCGUAAUGAUUAAUAGGGAUAGUUGGGGGCAUUAGUACUCAAUUGUCAGAGGUGAAAUUCUUGGAUUUAUUGAAGACUAACUUCUGCGAAAGCAUUUGCCAAGGAUGUUUUCAUUAAUCAAGAACGAAAGUUAGGGGAUCGAAGACGAUCAGAUACCGUCGUAGUCUUAACCAUAAACUAUGCCGACUAGGGAUCGGACGAUGUUAAUUUUUUAAUGACUCGUUCGGCGCCUUACGGGAAACCAAAGUGUUUGGGUUC